CCCCGGCUGGAACCCCUGCGUGAAGAGGACCUGGCCAAGGGGCCUGACUUGCACAUCCUCGUGGCCCAGAGGCAGGUCCAGGUGGCAGAGGAAGGCCUGCAGGACUUCCACCGAGCCCUGCGCUGCUACGUGGACUUCACAGGGGCCCAGAGCCAUUGUCUGCAUGUGUCCGCCCAGAAGAUGCCGGAUGGUGCCUCCUUCACCCUGUAUGAGUUCUGGCAGGAUGAGCCCUCCUGGAGAAGGCACCAGCAGUCGCCUGGCAGCAAGGCCUUCCAGCGCGUCCUCAUCGACCACCUGCGGGCCCCGGACACCCUCACCACUGUGUUCUUCCCAGCCUCCUGGUGGAUAAUGAAUAACAACUGAGCCAGACCUGCACACGCCGAGGGCCCCGGGACCCUGCCUGCCUCUGAACCCCAGGCUGGGACCCCAGCACAGAGGCAAUAAAGGCAGUGGUCCCUUCCA
rnacentral:sRNA from 1 species